rnacentral:tRNA from 1 species
GGGAGUUUAGCUCAGUUGGGAGAGCAUCUGCCUUACAAGCAGAGGGUCACAGGUUCGAGCCCUGUAAUUCCCACCA